rnacentral:tRNA from 1 species
GGACCCGUAGCUCAGUUGGUUAGAGUGUUACCUUGACAUGGUAAAGGUCAGAGGUUCGAGCCCUCUCGGGUCCACCA